UACGUAGGGGGCAAGCGUUGUCCGGAUUCACUGGGUGUAAAGGGCGCGUAGGCGGGCUUGCUAGUCAGAGGUGAAAUCCUGCGGCUUAACCGUAGAACUGCCUUUGAUACUGCAAGUCUUGAGUGCGGAAGAGAGAGACGGAAUUCCAGGUGUAGUGGUGAAAUACGUAGAUAUCUGGAAGAACACCAGUGGCGAAGGCGGUCUCUUGGUCCGUUACUGACGCUGAGGCGCGAAAGCGUGGGGAGCAAACAGG
rnacentral:rRNA from 1 species